AGGACGAACGCUGGCGGCGCGCCUAAAACAUGCAAGUCGAACGAGAAACCCGGGCUUGCCCGGGUGGACAGUGGCGAACGGGUGAGUAACACGUGAGGAACCUGCCCCGAAGACCGGGACAACACCGGGAAACCGGUGCUAAUACCGGAUACCUUCACCGAAUCGCAUGGUCUGGUGAAGAAAUGGAUUCCGCUUCGGGAUGGCCUCGCGGCCUAUCAGCUUGUUGGUGAGGUAAUGGCUCACCAAGGCGACGACGGGUAGCUGGUCUGAGAGGAUGUCCAGCCACACUGGGACUGAGACACGGCCCAGACUCCUACGGGAGGCAGCAGUUAGGAAUCUUGCGCAAUGGGCGAAAGCCUGACGCAGCGACGCCGCGUGCGGGAUGAAGGCCUUGGGUUGUAACCGCUUUCAGCAGGGACGAAUUGACGGUACCUGCAGAAGAACGCCCGGCCAACUACGCGCCAGCAGCCGC
rnacentral:rRNA from 1 species